rnacentral:rRNA from 1 species
GAUGAACGCUGGCGGCGCGCUUAAGACAUGCAAGUCGAACGGUUCAAUGGCAUCGCAGAUGAUGAAGAUUUAUCGGAAUUUGAAGCACCGUUAUUGAAUAGUGGCGGACGGGUGAGUAACACGUGAGCAACCUGCCUUCAAGUGGGGGACAACAGAGAGAAAUUUCUGCUAAUACCGCAUAAGACCACAGUACCGCAUGGUACAGGGGUCAAAGAUUUAUCGCUUGAAGAUGGGCUCGCGGCUGAUUAGCUAGUUGGUGAGGUAAUGGCUCACCAAGGCAACGAUCAGUAGCCGAACUGAGAGGUUGAUCGGCC